AUGCUAGCGUCAGCAGCACAUAUAUUAAAAUUAGUAUGAUAUAGAGAUUUUCAUGACCCCUGCACAAGGAUGACAGGUAAAUUUGUGAAAUAUUCCAUAUUUUU